CAAAACGAAACUUUUUUGGGCCGAAAACAGCAGUUUCAGUUGGGAAAAGUUUACACGAUGAAUGAAUGAUAUUUAUGGCAACAAUGUCAGAGAGCACAACAAAGCAAGCAAGUUAUUUGCUCCAAAUCAAUUUGCUUUGUCUUCUGCAGUAUCUUAAAAUUGGUUUUCAAUAACAAGGUUUUUAAUUAUUUGUUGUGAAAUGUGCGAAAGACGGUUUUGGGGAAAUCAAAACUUAAAACAUAGCCCAAACUGAGGUUGUUGCUGUUGUUGUUCAACAAAUAAAACAAAAUAAGUCAAAAAUCUACUUUUACUUUGAAAAACAAUGAUCAACAUUUUUGCUGAUUGUCUAAUGGCUGUUACGGACCAAACCCGUGAUAAAAUCUUAAUAAAUUUAAGUUUGUGCAUUUUCUACAUGAUAAAUUUGAGAUAAUAUCCUGUGUUUUAAUAGAUGGUUAACAUUUUUUUUCCACAUUCAUCGGAAAAUCGACAUAACAAUCUGUAGAUGAACUGAUUAUUGAAAUCACCGUUCAGUCCAGGCCUAGAUGACAAUGGCAUAGUUGUGGAUAAAAGAGCAAGCGGCCUGCGUCGACUUCCUGUUUGGCUUGAAUGUGUCAGCACACGUCACACAGUCACAUGUCUUCAAAUGACGUCUUCUAUGGUUUGUAAACACAUCAAGGCGGCAUGUCCAAGGAAGGAGCGCCGGCAUUCUUUUCUUUUUUCUUUUGAAGACGCUUUGUUGCGUCGUCGUGAUUUGGGGUAAAAAGUUCACUUUUUAUUUCGGGAGGUGUCUAAAAAUAGCUCACAAGCUGCCUUGCUUGGCUGUCAUGGACGAUGAUCAAGUGGUGCUCAAUUGAUUUACGCAGGGGACUCAUGCUUCACAUAUUCCUGACAUGUGGCAUGUUGACACUCGCCCGGUGACCAGUCACCAAUCAGACCUCCUGAUGAUGAUGACAGCAUCAUCUGAGGACCAGACAUAGCUGCAGAUUGUGUCAAUGCAUGCCAUAGCCUAUUCCAAUGGAGAAUACACCAUGGACUGGUCACCAGUCAAUGAAAGGAUACAUAUUGACAAUUGAUGGAUUGGUCGCCAGUCAGAGUCAGGGAAUCCAUUCAAGGUCUGACAUUAACGGUGGCCCAAUGGCCUGGGGCCACCACAUAACGGUCGGGCCACCCGCAGUUCACUGAUGCUGACCCGAUUGGGCCAAGAGUCGAACUACCACUAUUCACUAUUUUGAGUUUUAUCCACUUCAAUUAAUUGUUCAUCUUUGCUCGUUUUACUCCGCUAUGCACAUUGCAUCGCUCCCGUUCACUGUCAAAGUGUGUGCUACGUACUCGCGCUCGAACAUUUUUGCCACUGAGUCCUUUUGAAUUUUGCUAAGUCUAGAUUUAAAUCAGCGCCAGUGCCAGUUCUGGCAAGGUCACAACAAAAAACUUCAUGUCGGACCUUGGAAUUGACAAAUGAUGGACUGGCUGCAUGUCAAUUUCUGGGAAUGUCUAGUAGACAAAGAAUGACUUGGUUGCCAGUCAACAUCAGUGUAUAGACAUGGACAAAGACUGCCACAGGCAGAGCACACGGACUGGUCGCCACUCAAUAGUGGGGUACAAACAGAUGAUAAGCGUACACUUUCACACGAUCACUCAAUGUACAAAAAAAAAAAAAAUCCCUGAAAAGUCAGCGCAACUCAGAAGUUGAUUGACACCACGAGAGUGACGGCCAUGGAACGUGUGCACACCACAUGUACAACAGACGCCAGUGACACGUGUGUGUGUGUGUGUGUUUGUGUGUGUGCUCUAAGAUGACUGGCAAACUCACACAUCAUCCUCACACACGUGUUUCAGGAAUACCCGGCUCAAUGCUAACCACGCUAACACAACUUCAGCUAGCCUGAUUGGACACCAGGGCUCUUCAUCAUCUUCAUCAUGAUGAUGAUGUUGAUGUACAUUUUUGAAGUCAUUCAGUUGCCCAUAAAGCACAUUUGGCGAACCAGAAAAUGAAAGGACAAGAUUGUGUGAUGUCAUCAGCAGUGCAGUCAUCAUAUACAGUCCAGGCAGAUGAGGAGUUUGGCACGUGGACUCACCGCUGUGUGGUCUUCACCAGGAAGAGGUGCCACCAGGUCCAGCUGUGGGUUCCCUGUUCGAUUCCUCGUCUCAAACAAGUCGGCAAGCCAGACCAGCUGGCUUGAGGAGGCACGAUGCACAAGUGGUCAGCGUUCCGAGCCCAGUCGUCAGAUGUAGUCCAAACCCGCCGCCCCUCCCUGAACAACACACCCUGUGACCCACCCCUCCUACCCCAAAGUACCCCUCCGCACACACAUGAACCCUCACCCUCCCUGACAGAAGCUCACCUGUCGUUGUCACUCCUUCUAAAUUUAGCUGAGUCGUCAUUGAUGUGGUGUGUGUGUGUGUGUGUAUGUAUGGUAAUGUGCAUCUGUGUGUGCGUGUUGAAACUCAGUUGAUUUUAAACGACUUUUAACAGUUGAGGUGGCCAAGAUCGAAGGAAUUUUUUUAAAUUCAUAUGAGCAUUGCGAUCAAUCAUGAUCAGCUGGAUGCCAGCAAGAACCCGAUUUAUUUUGAAAGGCUUUAGGACAGGAGAAUCACGUCAAUUUCUUUUCCUGGAUAUCACAAGAGUAUCUCAAACGGCUUCACAAAGAUUCGCGACACUCCAACCCCAUUCCAGCAAAACCCCAAAUCUCAUUUGGAAAAUUAAGAGGAAAUCUUGAGAGUUGUGUUGCUUUUGAGUGACAUGGCAGCCAUGAGCAAGUUUUGCAGGCUAUGAUGACAUUCAGCACUUCAACGGGUGAUUGAAGGAUUAUCACCAGAAGAAUUCUGCGGAUUUUGGACCAAUCAUGUGGUCCGCGGUUUCGAGUUGCGCUGACAGCCGCGCGUCCGGCGUAAACCAAUCUGGACGGUGGGACGAGUGCCGUGCGUGGCUGGCAAUCCAAAAACUCUCAGACUUGGCUGCCAAUGGCCGGACGGCAUUUGCUUUUGUUUUGGUUGAACAUGAAACAAAACUCAGCCGACUUCUUGAAGUUCGAUACAGACUUUAAUUUUCCUGACAAAUCCACUUGCGACAUUUCAAAAUAAAGCUCAGCCGGCUGGCUUCCUUUUAAAGCCACAUUUACACUUACAUUUUGAUGAGCUGCCAGGAAGACAUUUUAAGCAUUUUUCCUGUGGAAAAAAAAAUCCUUAAAUCUUGACUGAAGGCUUAUUUUUACACUCUUGCUUAUAAUCAAACCACCUGUAGGCCUGUUGUACUGCCACUUCUCCUUUCCCUCCCCCUCCUCCUCUCCUGACGAAGCACUUCCGAAGGCGUCUACUUGCGACAUCCAUUGCAGCCUGAACAUCCGAGAAGGCGGCUCGUCCGUCUGUCGUCUCUUCUCAAAAUUUAAUUUUUCCUCAAAUGGGGUUUAGAACUUUUCCCUGUCCUAUUUGGGGGUUUAGAUCUGGGCACGUCACCAAGGUGUGCCAACUGUGGGCCCUGAGAGGCCCUUUGGGACUCCUUGGUGAUUAAGAGCUGUACAAAUAAACUUGACAGGACUUGAGAUGUGAUGUCACCGCCAGUGAUAUUGAGGUUAGAGGCCAGCUUAAGAGGGUCAGGCCCUUCACUGAACAUGGCUGCAAGUGAUACGUCGCCGACCUCGUUUGUCUGCUGCCUCUUUUCUACUUUGUGGUCACCUUCGUCUCAUCAGCCAAUCGUCACUGAACAGAAUGCAAGAGGCCCCGCCCACCCAAUCGAGGCCCGCUUUGCCGGCGAUGUCAACCUCGCCAAGUUCGCCCCACUCAAGGUCAAAGGGCAAGUGUCGUCACAUGGUUUGGCAUAGCUCAAACUAUUUACUGCCAGCUGCUCACACAUACACACUGUGCGUUCCACUAUGUGCAUUUGUGCGGAUUUUGUCUUGGGCUGAACGUGUGUUAAUAGGGAGUCACUAGUAUGGUGUGUGGGGCGUCCAGCGCGCGCAAUAUCACGUGCUCAGGCCUCAGGUAACAACCAAUCACGGCUCGAGUGAUGUUCGCAAGCUGAGCAUGAAAACGGCUAAAUGUUUCGAAGGAGCAGCACAACGGGUUGGAUUGCAGCAUUAAAACCACGGUUUCUUUUUUUUUUUUUUUUUUUACAUUUUAUGGGAUUAUGUUAUUCCUGUGUUUUUAGAAAGGACAUUUUUAUAGAGUGUUAUUUUGAAGAAAGUAAAAUCACUAGUGUGCUGAAUUGUCUCAUUCACGAGGACAAAGAGCGAGAGCGUACUCGUACAAGAAGCUGAAGCUGGGUCGAAUAACUUGCAAGUGUGUGGAGUCAUUGCGUGGAAAGUUGGGGGGGGGCAGCUGAGGGGGGGUUCUUAGAGGUCGUAGCCGGGGAGGAACUGCAGGCCAGGUUUAUUUCUGGCCUUAGCCUCUGACAGCUGAGCAUGUGUGAGGGCAAGUCCCGACCGAGGCAACACGGCCGCUGACCUUCAGCACCGCAAGGCCUGGUUGCCAUGGCGAGGUGCGGGGGGUGGUGGGGGCGGGGGUGCUCCACAGCGCCCCGCUGGGGACACGGACCGAAUUUCCCAUUUAUCAUGGGUGUAUUGGGUGAGGCAGGGUUAACAUGGUAAGCAAGCUUUAGGCAAACUCUCGCGCAGGGAUUCCCAACCAGUGUGUGCCGUGGCAUAACGGUUUGCCGCAAAUUAAAAUAUUUCACCAGGAAUAAGUUAACAUGUCGAUGAAAAUUGACAUUUCUGAUGCGGCAGGUGUAACUGGUCUGCACAAAACCAAAUAAAAACUUUUUAAAUGCUUCAGUACUUUUUUCACAUCUAACGUGGAAUCACUCAGAAUUAAACAUGAUUGUAAUUAAUAUUUAUGUGUGGUUAUUUAAAAAAAAAAAAA